rnacentral:rRNA from 1 species
UACGAAGGGUGCAAGCGUUAAUCGGAAUUACUGGGCGUAAAGCGUGCGCAGGCGGUGAUGUAAGACAGUUGUGAAAUCCCCGGGCUCAACCUGGGAGCUGCAUCUGUGACUGCAUCGCUGGAGUACGGCAGAGGGGGAUGGAAUUCCGCGUGUAGCGGUGAAAUGCGUAGAUAUGCGGAGGAACACCGAUGGCGAAGGCAAUCACCUGGGCCUGUACUGACGCUCAUGCACGAAAGCGUGGGGAGCAAACAGG